rnacentral:rRNA from 1 species
CCCAAUGAUAUCUCUAGAAGGCAUCUGAAAGAGAUUAAAGAUUUAUCGGUGAUGGAUGGGGACGCGUCUGAUUAGCUUGUUGGCGGGGUAACGGCCCACCAAGGCAACGAUCAGUAGGGGUUCUGAGAGGAAGGUCCCCCACAUUGGAACUGAGACACGGUCCAAACUCCUACGGGAGGCAGCAGUGAGGAAUAUUGGUCAAUGGACGAGAGUCUGAACCAGCCAAGUAGCGUGCAGGAAGACGGCCCUAUGGGUUGUAAACUGCUUUUAUAAGGGAAUAAAGUGAGUCUCGUGAGACUUUUUGCAUGUACCUUAUGAAUAAGGACCGGCUAAUUCCGUGCCAGCAGCCGCGGUAAUACGGAAGGUCCGGGCGUUAUCCGGAUUUAUUGGGUUUAAAGGGAGCGUAGGCCGGAGAUUAAGCGUGUUGUGAAAUGUAGAUGCUCAACAUCUGAACUGCAGCGCGAACUGGUUUCCUUGAGUACGCACAAAGUGGGCGGAAUUCGUGGUGUAGCGGUGAAAUGCUUAGAUAUCACGAAGAACUCCGAUUGCGAAGGCAGCUCACUGGAGCGCAACUGACGCUGAAGCUCGAAAGUGCGGGUAUCGAACAGGAUUAGAUACCCUGGUAGUCCGCACGGU